ACUCGCUCACUUCAGAUCUGUUGUCGAGCAACAACAGAAUGUUACUGUUAUUUAACAGUAUUAUAGCAUAUUUUUCGUUGUGCACGACAUUUUGGAUUGUCUGCAUGAGGUAGGUCUGCAACUUUAUCGAUGCUUGUGCUAUUUUUAAAUUACAUAUUACUUUUAAAUAUUGCAUUUUAUCCAGUGAAGCUUUUCAAAAAUAAAUUAGAUUUAAUUUCCUAUUUUAAUCAGGCAAAGUGGGUAUUCUACCAUCACAUCAGUUACACUCACAUCAGAUCACAGGGUUAUUUUGGUGCUUUGGUGCUAUUUUUGUCCUUAUUCCCUUUUCGUGCAUUGUGUAGACAAACAAAUAUUACAGAUAUUAUUAAGAUGUGUGCCACUCCUGCUGACUUUGAGAAGACUAUAACUCACCUGUGACACCUUGUUUGAUCCUGUUUGGUAAAUAUAUGAAAUUUGACAUUUUUCACUAAACAAGGCCCACACUCCAGGCUGACACAACCUUUUACUAUCUUUCUUUCUUUCUUUCUUUGUUAUUCUUUAUGCCAUUCCAGCAUCUUUGGCUAUAUUCAUGGCGAGAAACAGUUAAUCCAUACAAGUUUUAUUCACACAAGUCAAUCCAGACACUGUUUGGGUAGAGACAAUUUGGCAUCUGUGGAUACCCAGAGUAAACCCACGCUGACACAGGGAGAACAUGCAAACUUCAAACAGAAAGACCACCUGACCUAGCCAGGGCUCGAAUCGGGGACCUUGCUGCAUCAGGAGAACAUCAAGCUUUAUGUGCCUCAUUCUGGAGGCCACUGUAUUUGAAACAUGUUUAAUGUGUGACAAACUGAGAACAUUUAAUAUCAGACUUUACACAGAGACUAAAUGAAUUUGUCAUUUUCAGUUUACCUAAACAUUAGUGGCCCUCAAUUACUAUAAAUGUAAUUGUAUCAUGACAAUGCCUCUGAAAAUAGCAUACUGUUAGGUUUCUAUCUUGAAGGACAUGGCACUUUGUG